rnacentral:sRNA from 1 species
CAUUAUCUUUUAGAUCCCCCUUGGCCUUAUUAGCAUUGUUUGAUUCAUGGUCACAAAUUGCAAACCUACCCUCUGCCUGGAAAGCCACCUUCCCACCUGUAGGGUAAGGGUGAGGCAUGUGUGGCCCAGACUGGCCUAUUUCUAGAUAUUCAACAAGCCCUUGCCUGACUGACAGCAGCUUGCCACCAUUGCUUUCCUGUGUGAAUCCCAGGAAAAAGUGAUGUGGUCUGGGCAAGUUGGGUGGACGUAAGGGAUAGGGGACACAGGGUGAGGUUUGCUAGGUCAGAGGGGUUGGAUUGGAGAGGAGGGCCCCCUUUCCAUUGCAGAGUAGGUGAAGGGCAGAGAGGGGAUGGGGAUUGAGUGAGGAGCAUUGUGGUCCUUGUUGCUCAAGUGACUCUCUCCUGCCAUCCUAGGCAUUUUCUAUGGUUACAAGGGGCUGCUGCUGCUGCUGGGAAUCUUCCUUGCUUAUGAGACCAAGAGUGUGUCCACUGAGAAGAUCAAUGAUCACCGGGCUGUGGGCAUGGCUAUCUACAAUGUGGCAGUCCUGUGCCUCAUCACUGCUCCUGUCACCAUGAUUCU